GAAGCCAAAGGUGCGGGUGGGAGGCUGGAGGAAGGGACCCGCCUUGGUGAGUGAGGAGAAAGGUUAGGGAAGGCUGUCCUGAGAAAGUGACAUUUGAGGCAACAUCUGUUACAGAAGGAGGAAUAGGAGAUAACCAGAUUCACCUGACCUUGAACUCACUGAUGACAUGGUAUCGAUUGCACCACCACCUGCAGUCCCGCAGCAGCAGCUGCCAGCAGAAGCCAUGCUAACAGAACUCACAGAGAGGGUAGACAAGAGGUACAGCUGAGAUCGUGGAAGUGGAAGCUUUCUAUGGAUUUGCUGGACUGAGCUGGGGGUUCCUGGGCUAGGUGCCUUCAGCUGCACUUGUAGCAACAAGGAGAGGCUGAGGCAAGGCCAGAGGGCAUUCAAGUGACACUCAUGCCACCUGGGAGCUGCCACCUGGCCUUCCUUCAUCUGUGAUUGGCCAGCGUUAGGAAGAAAAGCCAGAAUGUGAAAUUUACAAAUGGUUUGUCGAGGGAGGGAACUGGGGGACAUCCAAGUUAGAAGAGGUUGGCAAAGGGUAAAAUGAAUCGCCAACCAAAAUAUAAGGCAACAGUGGGCAGGAGGUCUGGGCUGCACAGAUGACAAGCUGGCCCUUGAAGUGGCUGCGCCAAAGAGAAAGGGGAAGAAGUGCCAAGAAUGGAAAAUCAGUGGGAAAUUUAAAAGUUGAAUUAGAAAAUCUGAAAUGAAAGUGGCAUCAGAGAAUAAGAGAAGGCUUUCUGUUAUAUUGGAAUUAAAGAGACAGAGCUUGUGAUUCUC